rnacentral:lncRNA from 1 species
UGGGCUGGCCGGAAGCAGGGGUCCGGCAAGGGAAGCAGGGGUGGCUGCGGCUUCAUCUUCUUCUUCUUCUUCUUCUUCUUCUUCUUCUUCUUCUUCUUUUCCUAAAGAUGAAGAUAACUGCAGCAAGGGGGUAGUGGCGGUGGUGGCGACUACUAGCUGGGUAGUAGCGAUGGUGGUGGAGAAGGGGCAGAUGGUCGCUGACCAAGACGCAGAGGUUCCUUCUCGGUUGAGAAAAAUCGACAUUCGUAGCUACCGGCUUCACCCUUCCUCACACAAUUUUUUUUUUUUUUGCUACGGCAAGACUACAGCGAGAAUGCCAAGGAUCACCGCUUUGAUACCAAAUGGUAAGACCCUAAAGUCUUAUCGUCGCUCUGAUACUAAAUGGUAAGACCCUAAGGUCUUAUCGUAAAAGAAAUCG